UUGCUGUGUUGCCCAGGUUGGAGUGCAGUGGCUAUUCACAGACAUGAUCAUAGCAUGCUAUAGCCUUGAAUUCCUGGGCUCAUGUGAUACUUCUGCUUCAGCCUCCUGAGUAGCUGGGACUAUAGGCGUGCACCACUAUGCCCAGCUGCUUUGAACAUUCUUGAAAUGAAAUAUGGUAUAGUCUCAUACCAUAUCAUAGCCAGAGGGGGAGAGAGAGAAUUUUGUUGUUGUUGUUAUGUUAUCUGUAGUGGACUUUAUGCCUUCCCAGCAUAAAUUCUCUCUUUCCCCAUUUUUCGUGACUCUUGAUUUUUGUUGGGGUUCGUUCCAAGGAGAAUAAUUUCCAUCUGGAUAUUGGAUUGGCACCUGUGACCUCUUCUGAGCUAGACCCUAGUAACAGCGUUUGGAUCUGGGUUGUGUUCAGUUGUCACAGAAGCACAGCGAUGUGAUUGGUGGAAGGACCCGUCAACAGACCCAGAAGAUGUAAAGUGUUUUUAAUCUCAAAGGAUGUGGAAUCUCAGAGAUAGUUACACCGAGUAGAGGAUGAAGCGGCUCCUGGAUGGAGGCAGAGGCUUCCUGGAUCUUCAAGUUCUGUAUGGGUUGUUGUAUGAGGUUGGUGCAAAAGUGAGGCAGGAGAAUAGGGUCUGGAGGCAAGGAAACUAAGGCCGAUUCACACUGACUUCCUAGAACUAAAUCAAAAGGAAAACCCCAAUUUUCCAGACCUAAAUAACAAAAGUACCAGAUGGCUCCUCCCUUUCAACUGCCCCUCCCCCACACCUUUCUGCGUGGCACAUGGAAAAUUGAAAGUAUCUCUGGUUGCUUCUGCGUAGGAAUGUAACUUUGUAACCAAUCAGACGGAUCGCAGGCCAAGUCGC
rnacentral:lncRNA from 10 species